CGGGGCGUGGCGUAGCCUGGUAGCGCGCUUGGUUCGGGACCAAGAGGUCCCCAGUUCAAAUCUGGGCGCCCCGACCA
rnacentral:tRNA from 1 species